AAUAAAUGCAGCCGUGGAUAUCAGUGCCCAACAUUUGACCAUUCGUCUUAUUAAAAAAAUUUAUGAAAAAUUUAAAAAUAUUUAAUCACAUAUAAAGUACUAUUCAUGUUUUAUCAUCUAAUAGCAAUAAAAAUACUAAUCAUAAUUUUUUUUUCAAAUAAGACGAACAGUCAAACGUUGAACGUGAAUAGU
rnacentral:pre_miRNA from 1 species